AACGCUGGCGGCAGGCUUAACACAUGCAAGUCGAGCGGGGAUUGGGUGCUUGCACCUAAUCUUAGCGGCGGACGGGUGAGUAAUGCUUAGGAAUCUGCCAUUUAGUGGGGGACAACAUUCCGAAAGGGAUGCUAAUACCGCAUACGCCCUACGGGGGAAAGCAGGGGAUCUUCGGACCUUGCGCUAAAUGAUGAGCCUAAGUCGGAUUAGCUAGUUGGUGGGGUAAAGGCCUACCAAGGCGACGAUCUGUAGCGGGUCUGAGAGGAUGAUCCGCCACACUGGGACUGAGACACGGCCCAGACUCCUACGGGAGGCAGCAGUGGGGAAUAUUGGACAAUGGGCGAAAGCCUGAUCCAGCCAUGCCGCGUGUGUGAAGAAGGCCUUUUGGUUGUAAAGCACUUUAAGCGAGGAGGAGGCUACUUGGAUUAAUACUCUAGGAUAGUGGACGUUACUCGCAGAAUAAGCACCGGCUAACUCUGUGCCAGCAGCCGCGGUAAUACAGAGGGUGCGAGCGUUAAUCGGAUUUACUGGGCGUAAAGCGUGCGUAGGCGGCUGAUUAAGUCGGAUGUGAAAUCCCUGAGCUUAACUUAGGAAUUGCAUUCGAUACUGGUCAGCUAGAGUAUGGGAGAGGAUGGUAGAAUUCCAGGUGUAGCGGUGAAAUGCGUAGAGAUCUGGAGGAAUACCGAUGGCGAAGGCAGCCAUC
rnacentral:rRNA from 1 species